ensembl:lncRNA
CCUGUCCUUCCUGUCACUGAGCCCAGGCCGUACCCUGCCCGAGUCGGGGUCAAGUCUCCCCAGUGAGCCCUGCCUGCACGCCAGCCCGGACUCAGGAUGGUGCUGGCUUGGAGGCCAUGAGAGGACAAAUGGGGACACCACUGCUUCAGAGCUGGCCACAUGGAGAUGGCGCUCCCUGGGUCCCCAGGUUCGGACCCCCAAACAGGGCCCGGGGCCUCUUGGGGAUAAGGGAAAGGUUUUCUGCCCAACGCUCCCUGAGGCCCCUACAUCAUGUUCUUGGAGGAGAAGGGGGCCAAAGGUGGCCCAGCCUCCGGGACAGAACAGCAACAGCCCCGGGGCGGCCUCUUACCCUCCUCACCAUGGGAAGGUUCCACCCAGCUCCGCACCCAGCCAGAGGCUCAUUGGUGAGAUUCCAGGAGCCCGUCGGGCCUUCCUGUCCUUAGAAGGGCCAUGUGGCCUGGGGGAAGUGCUCUGGAGCCAGGCAGGCCUGGCUCUGGCGCCUUGACUCCUCCUGACCCCCCAGCUGUAAGACCCUGAAUUAGUCACUUUACCUCUCGGGCCCCACCUGUCAAAUGGGCACAGGGGUCUCUACCUCUCAGAGUCAUUAUGAAGGGUUUCUGAGACCACCGGCCAAGGGGUCAAGGGUCGUCCACAGCGCCUGGCUCCCAGCAGAGACGCCUCCCUGCUCUGCCCGGUGAACGCAGCAAGCCUGCCACCCCAGGAGGAGCCAGAGCCUCGCACGGUAUGCACCCACCUGGGUCCACGGCCUGCUUGAGGCAAACUCGGGAACUUCUGUCCCCUCUCCUAGACUGGCCGGCUAGCCAUGGCCGUGGUCCCACAGCUGGCAGGCCCGGGCUGGUGAGGUAGUGUCUGUGUCCGGCCCCGUCUAGUGCCCACAUGAUGUGGGCACAGAGGGGGAGCUGGGCGGUCAGACACAGGCCUCUGGGGAGACGCUCAGCACGGCAGGAGCCCGUGGAGGCACCAGGUGGCUGGCCCAGCCCCCGCUCCACUGGGGACCACAGCCCUCUCCUGUGCAGUGGGAGACAUAAGCCCAGGCUGGCCUACUGCCCAGGAUCUGAGGGAAGUGGGUGGACAGUCCUCAGGCCCUGAUGGCCCUCCUGGGGUCCUGCCAGCUGGACAGUUCAGGGGAGCUGCAGAAAGAUGAGGUCACUGGGACAGAGGGCAUCACUUGUGUACAGAAAAUCACCCAGAGCCAAAGUUGUGUGGAGGGUCACACGCAGUCCCACGGUCAGACGACCCCUGGGCAGAGAGGGCAGCCCCCGGAGGCCCUGGGGCCCUGGCAGGCAGGCCUGGUGGGGAGGUCACGGCAGGGAGACCUCAGACGUUGGCCAGCAUGUCUGCAAAAGACUCUGGACAGCACAGAGGUGACACUCGGUCACUUGCAAAUACGGGGCGCUGCUGUGGGCUUGAGCCACCUGGCCCCCAGCAAACUGUGCAGAAGUCACGGCUGCCACUCUCCUCAGACCCACAGACCGGGCACCCGAGGGCCUCAGAGGGAGGCGGGGCGGGGGGUGGUCAGAGCUGAGGACCCCGGGCCUCGGUCUCCCCGUGGGUGCCCAGAGGACCAGAUCACAGAGACGUCAACCCCCCUGUUCUAAAGAAGGGGCCACUAAAGCAGGUUCAGUGGGAAUGACAGUGACCAGGAAUGCGUCCUGUGGCCUGGGCUGACCUGCAGCCCCGGGAGAGGGACGGGAGGAUCCGGGAGUCAUCACCGUGUGUGACACACCCACCCCACUGAACUCACGCUCACAUACAUCAGACUCACACAUUCAUACCCAUUCAACUCACACUCACAUGCACACUUACUUGCACACUCACACACACACACACACACACACACCUGUGCAGUCCAAGUCCCGGGAAGACGGGAGGCACGGUGGCUCCCUCCCAGCUCGCCAGGGAGCCUCCUCCAGCCGCUCGCUGACGCCACGUGCACGCAGACUCCGAGCCUCCUACGUCCGGACAAAGGGACCAGAACUCCUAGUCCACUUCAGCAGGACCUCGGGGCCUGUGUUCGCGGCCUGGACGACAAAGCCGCCUCUCGCCUCGGCUGUCAGAGCCCGGGAGCUGCCCCGGGAAGACUCCGGGCCUCAGCUGGGCUGACACGGUGCGGUGAGAAGGAAGGGAGCAGCCGACUCGCCCAGGUGCGUGACGUCCCGCGUCCCCAGGGGCACCGCUCAGCACCGUUCACACACCCUGCCCAGCGCCGGCCACCGUGCAGGUACCUGGGACAGAAGCUCUCGCUCAGCACCAACUGGGAGCUCCCAGGGCCGUGGAGGCUGACUCAUUACUAAACAUUCCUAUUAUUAGCUUCACUUUUUCUUCUGAUGUUAAAAGAAAUUAAAAUCACACAUCUUUAGGGCCCCUAGGAACCCAGUGGCCUGAGCGUGCCGUGCCUGCUGGAGGAGUGGGCCCUGACCCCGCCAGGCAGAGCCUCGGGUGCCCACCUCACCCAGCAGCGUGCCCCAAGCCCAGGGCACCACUGUCACCGAGAACACUGCCCUCCUGGCAAAUCACGUUCGUGAAGGGGCACUCGGGGCGCUGGAAACCUCCCCCAACUCCUGCAAAUCACGGAGGACCUGUCACUUAGGCCAUGGACCGCCCAGGAAGGGAAGAACCCCGAGGAUGGAGACCAGAGAUGGAAGGCUCACAGGCCACCUGGUUCAGGUGGCUGGACAGCAUCUGCGGCUCAGCUCGGGCCUGGCUCACGGGUCCAGAGUCCAGGCUCGGCCUCUUCCCCCUCCUUUCUGGAAGGCGCAGCUUCCCUGGCUUGACCCUGCUGAGCUGACAGGACUUUCUGGGCCGUGAUGGUCCCAGAAGGACGAUGUGGAAACUGAGGCCCAAACCAAGCCCCUGACCGUGGUUUACACACUGUGAAGGCAGCCCUGUGAUUUUGAUCUUGUAACCCGUGCUCACAGCCAAGGCCCUCCUGUUCCACCCAAGGCCCUCUGCUCUGUGCUCUGCAGCCGGUCCUCACAGCACCCGCGGAACAGCCCUAAGAGCUGUGACGACGAGAUUCACCCCCUGACGGCGUGAUGCCCCAGCGGCGCCCUUCUAGAGGGAUCUGAGGAGAAACAAGGCUGCGACUCGCUCCUGAGGUGACUCUGGGACCUUGUCGUCCAGCUCCGAAGACCAGAGGUGAAACCACGACUCGCUUGUCCCUCUGGGAAGGACACAGGAGUGAGGGCCAAAGGAGGCCGCUCGACAACUGUCUUGAUUUCUGCAUGGGUGACUCAUGGGGGAAAGGUCACGUAGAAGGAAUCAUGGUGGCUUCGGACUCGACGAUGGCUGUGGGAGCCACUGGAAGACGAUGGAACAAUUCCUGCAAAAGUGGCCUCUGCUUAGCUUUUUCUAUAGGAAAAUGAUUUCCAAACUGGAAUUCUAUACUCGGUGUGACAGACUGCAUGUUUGUGCCCCUAAAUUCACGUGUUGAAACCUAACCCCUGAUGUGACAGUGUUAGGAGGUGAGGCCUUCGGGAGGUGAGUAGGUCAUGAGGGGGGAGUCCCCAUGAUGGGAUCAGUGCCCUUAUAAAGAGGCCCCAGGGAGCUCCCUUGUCCGUUCCCUGUGUGAGAUGGUGAGAAGACACCCUCCGUGAACCAGGAAGCCAGUCUCACCACACACGGAAGGUGCCCGCACCUCGGUCCUGGAUUUCAGCCUCCAGGCCCGUGAGAAGGUGGGGGCUGUGGAAAGCGGGUGUGGGUGGGGCAGGCGAUGAGGAAAGCGAACACUGCUCCUCCCUAACGGAAGUCAGGAGAUACUGACUAAGCUGGAAAAGCAAGAAACGACAAUACAACAGAAAUACCAAAAGAAUUAGUUAAAAAACAAAAAAGGAAGCAGUUGCCUCUGGGGAAGAAUAAUUGGAGCCGGUGGGUGGCAGGAGACUGCUGUUUUUAUAAAAAGCCUUGGGACUCGUUUAACUCCUUAGGUGACAUUUGCAUCCAGCUCUGAUUUAGAGAGAAACAGAGCUUUCCUGUGAGCCGUGGAGACGGCAGAGCUCAGACAGCAGCCCCAGGUGGGCGCACAUGGAGACCCUGCUUCCUGAGGAUGAGGAGGAGGGGGGUGGAACGAGGCCCCAGGGCCCUGCGUUCCCUGGUGGAGAGGGGAGAUCUCGGAGGCCGCCAGGUCAGUGUGGGGCUCCCUGCUCUGUGGCCACGUCCACCUGCCCAUCACAGCCGGGAGGAAGACACUCGGCGCCACCGUGCGGGCAGGGCAUCCUCUACGCCCUGGUCUCACCUCCCCUCGGAUCCUAACUGGAGACCCUGGAGGGCAGAGCCGUGGACACAGCCUGGGGACCCGCUGGUGCUCAGCGCUGCGAGCUGGCCCGGCCAGUCCUCACUCUCUGCUGGGAUUCUGUCCUCAGCUUCCGCCACCAGAAGUCAAGCCAACACUGACACCAUUUCCCCAUUUGAAACACACGAGUGAGGCCCGCACGCAUUUGUGCUCUGAGAAAAUGCAACGUUCUGGUCCCUCUGCCCCAAGGGUGGGAACAAACAACCCCUCAAUGGUGGGGGGCGGGAGGGGGGCUUGUGGAGAAUCACGCUCGUGGACCACAUCUGUCCUCUGGCUUUGGGCUAGUUUCCUCCAAAUUACUGGCAAAUUCUGCAAUUCUGACCCCAGCUGUGGACACUGCUUUCUCCUGCGAGUCCCCAGGCCAACACUAAGGGUUGUCGAGUCCCUAAAUUGGCCCCAAGCCCUGCAUGUCCCCGAGCCCUGGGCAGUACUGCAGGUGGAGGGUCUGACUCGGGGGCUCGGCGAGCCCAGUCCCGUUUAUAGCCGGGCCUGGCUGUUCAAUGUGGGCCGCGGCCGGGCAGCCUUUGGCUCACUCGGGAGCUGGUUGGAAACAUCAGUUGCCAGCUGCACCACCAGAUCCACUGUUUCGGGACCUGCGUUCGAGCAGAUACCCAGAGAGGUUAGAGUUCAGGGCACUCUGGCUUGCAGGAGGGAAUUCUCACCCCAGUCACGCAACGUAGGGUGUCACCUUCAGGUGAGGAGGCCCAGGGAAGCUGAUUGGGUGACCCCCUCCCUAGCCGUGGCCAGGCCGGCCGGGGCUCAGGAGGGCCACCAGCUUGUCUGGACGCGGCCUCUACAGACACACAGUGGACUCACCAAACAUCUGGGCCUCAGCUUCCUCUCCUGAAAACUGGGGAGAGUUGUACCUAAGGGACGUCACCCCACAGGAGGGCCUCCCAUGCCUCACACGCUGUGACGAGCCCCGACUCUGCUGUGGGCCUGUGAUGCUCAGACACAGUCUUGCCUGGGGCCGCGGGAAGACAGGGUGGGAUGGCCAGGACAGAAGGCCGUGCAGAUGUGAGAGCCAGGCGUCCGUCUGAAUCCCGACUCCACCCUGAUGGCUGUGUGACCCUGGGCAAGCGACCUGUCCUCUCUGUGCUUUCAGUUUCCACUUCUAAGAAGGGGUGAAUAAGCAGGAUGAAGGAAGUUACUGUCUGCAGGGCGCUCACAACGGAGCCUGGCACCGAGCACGCGCCCUGGGUGUGUUUGUUAAACAGAUGUUAGAGAGAAGGGCCAGCUGAGUUCAGCUCAGAGGGCAGAAGGGGCAAGGUGGUGGGGGAGAGGCCCAGGGAGCAGCCCCCAGGCUGAGACCGCCUCGGAAAGGAGGGGCAGGGGGCGGGCCGGGCAGGGAGAAAGGAGAUGGGGACCCUCGAGGAUGGGGCUGGAGCAGGUGCUGGGGCAGGGGUGCGAUGUGAGGAGGCAGGGCCUGCUGGACCCAGCGCCCGCCCACAGGACCAGACACGAGGUCCUCACAGACCCAAAGGAUGCCCAAACCAAGUGAGAGGUUUCCUUUGUCUCUAGAAGGAGCCAAACGAAGGACAUUGGCGAGAAGUGAAAGGCGGCCUGGGUUCUGACCGCUGAGGGCCGCUCCCAGGCUCAGCUCACGGGGAGGAGCUCAGGCCCUGUGGACACCGAGGUUCCUCCCAGCCUGCCCUCCAUGUAGGGGGCGCCUCUCCUCACGGCACCCCCUGCUCAGGGCACCCCUCACGGCCGUCUCUUCCUUCACAAGCUGGGGCAAGGGGCUGACCCAUCCACGUGGAGGUGUCCCCAGGACGGGGGAUGUGGGGCCACAGGCUGGGGCUGCUAGCCAGUGAAACCACAGGCACGGGGGGCAUGCAGGAGCAAGUGUGGCCAAUGGUGCCAGAGCUGGGUGACCCUAAAUGACCCCUGGGAGCAAGAGGACGCGGGUGCCCGGGACAGGACCAGGUAGCAGCCUUCAUGGGAAUAGCAGCGGGAUCCUUGGGUGGCAGCCUCCACGUGCAGGGUCUCCUCUCCCAGGCCCCCAGCGGGGCUGUGUUUCCACUGCUCAGUUGGGAGGCCGGGAGGCAGGGACCCGUCACUUGUCCCAGGUCACCAGGCUUACAGACGGCAGAGUGUGCUCCCUCUGAAGCCAGCCCUGCCUAUCGGCUCCCCCUGCUCCAAAGUCCUGUGUCCCCCGCAGGGUCUCCACCCUGGAGACCGUCCCCCGGCCUCCUACCUGCUCAGGGGGAACAGCCUGCACCAGCUGUCACUCGGUCCCCUGAGCGCCACAUGCAAUCACCAGCACGUCCUGAAGGUGCCACCCCCAGCAGCUCCAGAACCUUCUCACCACCUCUGCUGCUCCGAGCCACAUCCACCGGCAGGUCCCCGUGGGAGCCUCCAAUCAUUUCUUUGCUUCUGCCGUUGCUCCCCUCAGCCUGGCCCCCGUCUUCAUCUCCCCACAGCACUUACCACUGUCUGGCGUCCUGUGUAUUUACUCAUUUACUGUUUCUUAGGUGUUAUAUGGAGAAUGAUCAGAGAACGGGGUGCACCAAUGGAGGGGAUGCCACCCAGGGGCUGGGGAGAGCUCCCUGGAGGAGGUGCGGCUUGGCUGAGUUGGCCUGGUGGUACACACUCAGAGACAGUGCAGUGCAGCGACUCUCACCCGCAGGCGCUCAGGAAGGACGCCACAUCUCCCCGCUGAUCAGACGCAGCGUCAGAGGAGCUUCUGCAGAGGGCCGGGCCCGGUGACGGCAGCGGUGCUCAGGAGCCAGCAGGCACCCGGUCCACUGGGGCCUUCCUCCAACGAGGAUUAACCGACACUGGUCAUAUGUGCCAGCUCUAGAGACCCACAGAGCUGUGGCCCAGCCCACACCUUUAAGAGAGGACGUGCACGAACAGAAGAAGGCCACUGGGUUGCAGAGGCGGGUGGGAGGCAGAGAGGGGGGCCUGGUCUGGGAACGGCCCCCAGAAGAGAAGCUGCUAGGCAGACAAUGACAGGAACGGUGUUGGAGGCAGAGGGAACAGCCUGUGCAAAGGCUCUGAGCAGAAGGCCCAGCUGCCCCUCUGUCCUCGGAGGGCCUGACGGGAUUGUGGGAGGACGGUGCUUGGCCCUUUACACAGCAAAUUCAAGCCAGGGGGGCCAGGGCUCUUUUAAGCUGACAUUUUCCGGCACAGCUGUUCGUGUUGUUCACAUAUCUGACAGCGGCCUGGCAAGCGUGCCCGCGAAACCCCGCUUCAUUGUUUUGGUUUUACUUUGUUUUUCUUUUUAAGGAAAAACAGCUGUAAGGCCAAGAGAGAAUGGAUGCUUUGGAGAAACUUCUGAUGCUACUUGCCCGGCUUAUACACUCAGGGCCAGGCCCCCAAACAGUCCACUGGGGCAGGGCAGGCCACAGCCAUCCCACGCACGGGCUGGGCUGAGCUGCCCGCCCAUCCAGGGUCAGCAGUGGGACCGAGGACGGCCCCGCCCCUUCAGGCUGCAGCCUCCGGCCAGCAGGAGCUUCCCCCUCCUCCGCUGUGACCAGACCAGACCCUGCAACGAGCCCUCGGGCCAGCUCUCUCUGCAGCUCCCAUGAGCCCUGUGGCCGGGCCAGGCUGGGCGCCUGCAGGACAUGGGGCCCGUCCUCUGUGCACCCCAAUCCCCAGAUGGUCUGUCCUCCUCGCUGUGACGCUGUAUGAUGGUGACAGCAGCAGCAGCGUGACAGUUCCCACUCACUGCACAUCGGACAGGAGCUGGCCCGUAUCCUCUCCAGUCCUCCCAGGCGCCCGCUGUGUAGACGACGUGGCCCCACUUUACAGACGAGGAGAAUGAGGUGCCACAGUUUGUGUCAGUUGCCGGAACCCAGAAGAGGCAGCCCGGGGAGGGCUCGGCAUGAAGAUGCCGCCCCCGCCUCCCUCACCGCCACCCCGCCCCCACCCCCCUCCCAGCGAGGACUUGAGGACGCGAGAAGGGGCUGCAGUGAGAGCCUCGGGGGUCCGACCUCAGGUGGGCGAGGGCGAGGUGAGUGGCCUGAGGCAGUGAGGUGUCUGGUGCCAGGCAGGCGAGGGGAGGGGGACCAGGGGGAGGUCCAUGGAGACCAACGUGAGUUGGGCCCUGAAUGCCAGUCUGAGGAGCUUCCACUUGGCCCCCAGAGCGACAAGGAGCACAGAGAGGCGGCGCCCUCUCACCCAGGGUUGAGGGAUGCUGGCUCAGAGAGGUGUGUCAGUGGGCGUGGAGAGGAGGGACUCCAGAGGGAGGGAGCACCCCAGGACCUUGACAUGGCCAGGUUCCAGGGGGCCGAGGGUGACCCCUGGGUGUCUGUUGGGGGAUCCCAAGGAUGCACCCUUCCCUGUAAAGGAUGAGGAGGGAUAAGCUACAGUUCUUUGGGUCUGACUACAGCCCCUGGGCGGGUGGGACAGGAACCAGGGCUCCUGGUGCCUGCCCAGCAUCCUCCGAGUCCAUGUGGCCCUUGCCUCUCAUCCUGGCCUUGGCGCCACAGGGAGGAGCAGGGAAUAAAACCUCCUUUCAGCCCGCCUCCCCUGAGCUGUCGCAGGCAGCCUGCCAGGAAACACGAGGCAAGUUAAAACCACAGGGGGUCUCUUUCCACCUAUUGAAUUAAAAUGUCCUGGAAGAGCGGUAAGCUGGCAGCAGCCGUGCCCACUGUUGGCUUUGUAACUGGGAUAUCGAGUUUGAAAAACAAACAAAUCAGCCAUUAAACAACAAAAAUGCACGCGGACCUCGACCCAGAAAUUCCUGUUCUGGGAGCAUCUCCUAAAGAAAUAAUCUCCAAUACAGGGGCCGGGCCACGCACGCUGUGCCGUUUGUCAUAGAAUGCAGACUUCAUGUCCAACUGAUGAGGAUUAUUUUGGGCUGGUUACUUUUAAAAACUGCAGACAGGAAGGAGGCUCUGAAAACUGGAAUUUACUUGCCCUUUGAUGAGAGACGUGUGCAUUUGUGAAGGAAGUCUCCAUCUGUGGGGGUGUCUCCCUCUGUGUACCAGCAGGAAGGCGGAAUGACCUUAUCUCUAGAAACUCUUAAUGGGGACGGCAAGGAUUAAGUCUGCAUAGUGAUCUUGCCCUUGUUUAUUGUGCUUGUCUGGUAACCUCAUGUAGCUGACUCCCCCCACCACCAACAUCCUCCGGGAGGCAUAAGACAUCCCGACUUAAUCCGGUCUGAUUCUUAUCUAGAGUUGUAGGACCACCCAAUAGCCAGACCCCACCUGUGCUGAGACCAUUUUAACAACUUUUUUUUUUACAUAUUCUUUCCUUUGUCUUGUAAACAGAUAACUCACAUACCUAUGCCUUAAAUUUAGCCCUACCCUCAACCCAUGUCUGCAGCUCUUCCUGCCCAUGGGUCCUGUCCCC